UUGAUGCAACGGGUGGUUUCCUGCCAUGGC
rnacentral:piRNA from 1 species